GUGAAACAGUGUGAAGCAUGAAGUAUGAUAAUCGGAGGCAAAGAAAAGGUAUCCAAUUUCAGAUAAGAUGUUCCUGGGGAGGCUUGCUGAGAAAGUGAACUUUGAGCAGAUAUUGGAAUGAAAUAUGACGGGAAUUCAACAAAUGAAGCUGAAAGAAAUAGGAGAUGGUGAUGAAGGGUCAGAAAGGACUCAGAUCAUGUACACAAUUUGGGAUUUACUAUACUUGCGAUGGAAAGACAUUGGCAUCUUUUGAGCAUGGGAAUGGCAAGAUAUGAUUUAUAUCUUGAAACUCUCAUUUUGCAGCCUAUUGUGGUUUGUUCAAGAAGAAUUGACAGUGACUGGAAGUAGGAUGAUAGCAGCUGAAAUGGGGAAAAUAUCCGGUUUUAGGAUGCAUAUUGCUGGUAAAGUGAAGAGAACAUGCAAGUACAAAGGAAAGAGUAGAAUUGGGGUCACUCCCACCUUUAAAGGCUGAGCAAUUUGAGAAAAAAAGACAAAGGUUCCUGAUGAAAGUGGAAUUAUACCUCCAGAUUGCCUUGGAAGUUGAGCUGCAACAUCAACUUUUCCCUGAAGCUCCAGCCUGCUAGCCUACCAGCACAUGCUGCAGAUUUUGGACUUGCCAGCCCCCACAAUUAUGUGAGCCCAUUCCUUAAAAAUAAAUUCAGUUCAAUCUCUCUCUCUCUCUCUCUCUCCAUACAUACAUCCUAUUGGUUCUGUUUCUUUGGAGAACUCUGACUGAUACAGAUUUUGGUACCAAAAGUGGUUCUUAGGCUGCUCAUUCAUCCUGACAAUCAAAAGUGGUUCUUAAAGAACAAAAUCUUAAAAACCCAUUUUCUAAAUUGGCUCUGGGGUUUCUGCAAUUGGUUCCCUAGUCUAAUUAGAUUUAAAAGCAUUAGUGUUGCAUUUCCAGGAGUAAAAGGAACACUGAUAAUCCAUGGCAUGAUAUGAUGAUAAUAGAGAUACUCAGAAUAUCACCAUUGGAUUCUUUUAAUCAAAUACUUAAAAGAGGCAAGGUUCUGGGUGACCUAUGUAAUACCUUCAAACAUCUCUGUCAAGCUAAUCUUAGAGUUUUCAUUUCACACGUGAACUGGGAAUAAUUACUUUUACCCCAAAAAGAGUUGUAUUGAAGAAAAAAUGAGCUAACCCUUUUGGAAUAUCUGGCACAUGGUAUGCACUUACUAAACUGUCAUGUUAUCAAGGUUGACACUAC
rnacentral:lncRNA from 10 species